rnacentral:misc_RNA from 1 species
GCUCCUUAUUGUUAUUAUAGUACUUGCAGCUUGAUUUGAAGAUUUCGAAACUCUAUUAGAAACAGCCUCUCUAGCCCACAAAGGUAAAACGUAAGGUCCGCGUACAUCCUACCUUCUCCAAACCCCACUUGUAGGUUUACAUUGCAUAUGUUUUUGCUCUAGAGCAUCAUCCUAAACUAAGCCAGGAAGAUAUCUUUGUGACUCAUGUUGUUUGAAUGCUGAGCCUGGCUUGGCAUAAAACUGUGCUACCUCGAAUCUUUGGUCGUGCAAAAAAAGGGAAGUUUUGUAUAGGGUUUGUUUUUAAUAUUGUAAAUUUGGUGUUUAGGUUGCUAGGUAUGUUGCUGCUUUGUAAUGACACUAUU